rnacentral:lncRNA from 1 species
GAGGUGGAGGAGAUGGAGAUGGUGGAGGGGGACUCUUGUAGUAGUAAGGAGGUGGUGGAGAUGGCGAUGGUGGUGGUGGAGAGUGGUAGUAGUAUGGGGGAGGAGGGGAGGGAGACGGUGGAGGUGGACUCUUGUAAUAGUACGGAGGUGGAGGGGAUGGAGAUGGUGGAGGGGGACUCUUGUAAUAGUAUGGAGGUGGAGGUGAUGGGGAUGGUGGUGGAGGUGAUUUGUAGUAAUAAGGAGGUGGUGGAGAUGGCGAUGGUGGUGGUGGAGACUUGUAGUAGUAAGGUGGGGGAGGGGAUGGUGAGGGUGGUGGAGGAGAUUUGUAAUAGUAUGGAGGUGGAGGGGAUGGUGAUGGUGGAGGUGGUGACUUGUAAUAGUAUGGUGGAGGAGGGGAUGGUGAUGGUGGUGGUGGAGACUUGUAGUAGUAAGGUGGGGGAGGGGAUGGUGAAGGUGGUGGAGGAGACUUGUAGUAGUAAGGUGGGGGAGGGGAUGGUGAAGGUGGUGGAGGAGACUUGUAGUAGUAAGGUGGGGGAGGGGAUGGUGAAGGUGGUGGAGGAGACUUGUAAUAGUAUGGUGGAGGAGGGGAUGGUGAUGGUGGGGGUGGUGACUUAUAGUAGUAUGGUGGGUGUGGAAUUUCUUUAGGUGGGGGAGGAGAAUGAUAAUAGUAUGGUGGAGGGGGGGAUGAUCUUGGAGGUGGAGGAGAUUUGUAAUAGUAUAAGGUGGGGGAGGGGAUGGUGAAGGUGGUGGAGGAGACUUGUAGUAGUAAGGUGGGGGAGGGGAUGGUGAAG